GGGGUUGACUGGUUUUGACAGCACGUAGAAGAGAUACGUAAGCAUGUCGAGCAUCGUAACAUUGGCUCGUAAAUCUUAAUGUUGCAACUUUUUAACUGGCGAAAAUAAUUACGCUCUUGCAGCCUAAUCGAAGUUUAGUAGAUUACGCUUAAUCCUCGUACAAGGUACGACGACAAGACAUCUCGCUGUAGGGACACGCUCUGUUCCUUGCAGUAUAUGAGGUGUAGAGAAUUCAGAGCUAGUUACCUUUGAGUCUUUCAUAGGUAGCGAAAUCCUAAAAGACUAAGGAUAUUGAUGGGUGGUUUUAUGCCGGUCUUAUCACGAAAAUUAAGAUAAAACUAAGCAUGUAGAAAGCCUAUUUGUUCCGUGUUUGGACGCGGGUUCGAUUCCCGCCAGCUCCACAA
rnacentral:tmRNA from 1 species